rnacentral:rRNA from 1 species
UAUCAAAAGCGGAGGAAAAGAAACCAACCGGGAUUGCCUUAGUAACGGCGAGUGAAGCGGCAAAAGCUCAAAUUUGAAAUCUGGCGUCUUCGACGUCCGAGUUGUAAUUUGAAGAAGGCGACUUUGUAGCUGGUCCUUGUCUAUGUUCCUUGGAACAGGACGUCAUAGAGGGUGAGAAUCCCGUGUGGCGAGGAUCCCAGUUAUUUGUAAAGUGCUUUCGACGAGUCGAGUUGUUUGGGAAUGCAGCUCUAAGUGGGUGGUAAAUUCCAUCUAAAGCUAAAUAUUGGCGAGAGACCGAUAGCGAACAAGUACAGUGAUGGAAAGAUGAAAAGAACUUUGAAAAGAGAGUGAAAAAGUACGUGAAAUUGUUGAAAGGGAAGGGCAUUUGAUCAGACAUGGCGUUUGCUUCGGCUUUCGCUGGGCCAGCAUCAGUUUUAGCGGUUGGAUAAAUCCUCGGGAAUGUGGCUCUGCUUCGGUAGAGUGUUAUAGCCCGUGGGAAUACAGCCAGCUGGGACUGAGGAUUGCGACUUUUGUCAAGGAUGCUGGCGUAAUGGUUAAAUGCCGCCCGUCUUGAAACACGG